GUACGGGAGGCAGCAGUGGGGAAUAUUGCACAAUGGGGGAAACCCUGAUGCAGCGACGCCGCGUGAGCGAUGAAGGCCUUCGGGUCGUAAAGCCCUGUCGUAUGGGACUAACACAAUGAAGGUACCAUGCAAGAAAGGAUCGGCUAACUUCGUGCCAGCAGCCGCGGUAAGACGAGGGAUCCUAGCGUUGUUCGGAAUUAUUGGGCGUAAAGCGGGUGUAGGCGGAUCUAUAAGUCAGGUGUGAAAUCCCAGGGCUCAACCCUGGAAGUGCACUUGAUACUGUAGAUCUUGAGUGAGGUAGAGGUUACUGGAAUUCCUGGUGUAGUGGUAAAAUACGUAGAUAUCAGGAGGAAUACCGGAGGCGAAGGCGAGUAACUGGGCCAACACUGACGCUGAGACCCGAAAGCGUGGGGAUCAAACAGGAUUAGAUACCCCUGUAGUCCC
rnacentral:rRNA from 1 species